rnacentral:rRNA from 1 species
UACGUAGGGGGGCUAGCGUUGUCCGGAAUCAUUGGGCGUAAAGCGCGUGUAGGCGGCCCGGUAAGUCCGCUGUGAAAGUCGGGGGCUCAACCCUCGAAUGCCGGUGGAUACUGUCGGGCUCGAGUGCGGAAGAGGCGAGUGGAAUUCCUGGUGUAGCGGUGAAAUGCGCAGAUAUCAGGAGGAACACCGAUUGCGAAGGCAGCUCGCUGGGACGUUACUGACGCUGAGGAGCGAAAGCAUGGGGAGCGAACAGG